UACUGUCUCACUUCCUUCCUGGGAACUCUUCAAAUGGAAUUUUAUGUCUGGUUAGGAGUAAUACAAUUUAAGAAGGAUGUGGAUAUACUGGAGAGGUUACAAUGGAAACUACUUAAAAUGAUGGGAAUUCUAGAAACCAUGGUCUGUAAAGGAAAAUGGAAAGAAAAAUGAGACUUAUUCAGCAAAAGGAGAAAUAGUGCUAGGUUAAGAAGAAGAUGAAAUGAGGCAAACCGGAGGAAAGUCAUUUUUAACUACAGCAAGGGCAGAUUAGAUUUUUUGAAAGAUCCAUUAAUUAUUUUAGUUAAGUGUUGGAAAUACUUAGGGAGGUUAAGAAAAUUUUUCUAAAUGGAAGUUUCUUAUAAACCACCCUUCCCCUCAAUACUCCUUUGCGCUUCAGUCUUCCCGACAACGAAAGUUUACUUGUCUUUAGACAUAACACAAGUAAUAGGGUCAAUGGGAAAGGACCUACCCACAUGCCCAUAAAGGAACUGUGUCUUUGACCCUGGAAUUGCUGUCAACUAUCUUUUUUGGUAAUUUGGAAACUAAAAAUAUUCUGUUCUUUCAAUAAUACUGCAGCAGAUGACCACCAGAAUCCAGCAAGGUGUGGAUGGGACAGUGGAAAAGGCGAAAGAUCUCCUCUUUAGGAGACAGGAAAUUUCCAGUCCAGGCUCUUCUACAAACUGGUGGAUUGUCCUUAUGCUAUUGCCAGUGGAAACAAGUGGCUUUUGCACUUUCAAGCCUCAGGAUCUCAUUGUGGGUAGGAAGAAGAAAGGGAGAAUGACAAAGGGAAAGAGGACAAGGCCGUGGGACAACCAGCACUUUGUGGCACAUUUCAUGGAGGACAGGAUUGGCAGUGACCUCCCACCCUCGGAAACUCUGCCUCGUGCCAUGGGAAUGUUCUUGGCCUGCUUGGAGAAGGUAAUCCGAGGCUGCUCUUGGGCCACAAGCAGUGCAGUUUAGCAGUAAUUACCUGGAAACUCAGCAGAACGAUAGAGUUUAAGAAGCCUCCACAAAUGAGUAAGUUUUUCCUAGAGAAUUUCUCAAGCCCUGGAAAAAAGGUAGCUUAUUAUAUGUAAACAUUGCUGAGGGUGUUUGUGUGUGAGAGUGAAGAGUGAAGUGUUUGGGUGGCAGGGACGUGAAGGGAACAUUGAAGGAGCAACAAGACAAGACCCAACAGAGAUGAAAGGAUGACACAGGCUGGCAGGAGGAUGGACCUACCGUCGCAGUUGAUUGAGAGGAGCCUGGGGAACCCUGAAGCAAAGUCACAUAAACAGAACUCCAAGAAAAGUCUUUGAAAAUAAAAGGGAAGGCAAGAGCCUCA
rnacentral:lncRNA from 1 species